rnacentral:lncRNA from 1 species
AUUGAAAUUCCGUGCUGAGACGUUCCCAGACAAAUGGAAAAUGAACGUGCUCACCCAGAUGGAUAAAAGAGCCUCUGGUAAUGACAGACAAACUGCAUUACAGGACAGGAAUGUCAUGCAUGAUCAGGUGGCUGCGUUGGUAUGGAGAGGCAGCUCAGGUCAUGCAGGCUGCUCCGAUGGGACAUGUGCCUCCAGGAGCAUUUCUGUGCCUCGCCUUGCAGGACCCAGCUAGCCCACCUGCACUGCAGGUCCUGAGGGCUGGUCCUCAGCUGUCAGUGUUCAAAGGGCUCAAGUGUGACUUGCAUGGGAAAUCCUGUUCCACCCCAGGGAUACGGGCAGACAGAGUUUGUCAUUGCCAGGGAGAAAACGUGGCUGCGUGUGAACCACCAGGAGGACAGACGGACGCGUGCACGCCAGUGGCCGGACAGAAAUUUCAAGCAACAGUUCUUGGAAACCAUAUGGGGAUCAGCCUGGGAGUUCUGCAAGAACUGGGGAACAGCUUUGACCCAAGGCUUUCUCAUGGUGCAUCACAGUUUUCUAAGCUUGCCUGGAGUAAGAAGACACUGGACAGUAAAGGAAACGAAUCCUUAUAUGUUGUCUGAGCCCAGCCUUCCAAAAAGAGAAACAAAAGAAAAAUAAAAUCAGCACAUCUGAGAAGGCUGCAUCUGGCAAGGAGGGCAUGGAUGCAGCAGUGAGGCCAGUGCUAGUCAAGGUGUCAGAAUCUGCUGCUCAACAAGCGAAGUGUUUGGGGCAAAGAACCAGCCAAGGUUGGCCUGUCAUUGGUGAAUUCAUAUGUCAUCGACAACAUGAAUUCUUCUGAACUUGGAAAGCUUUCAUUUGAAGCAGAUGACCUUUCAUUUCAACAUACCUGCAGGAAGCUCUGGAAAGUCUGGGUCUGCCAUGUGCAAAACUACUUACUAGUGACAGCAAAAGCAAUUUUAGAAGAGAGACAGAAUGGGGAAGUGCUGCUGGGAAAAAUGGAAGGCUUCAGGAUGUUUUCUGAGAUUCUUGUAGUAAAUGGAAACCAAUGGAUUCCUUUGAACACUUCCACUGAACAGAAAGUGUGACCAGUUCCACCUGAGUAAUACCUGGGUCAUCCUCCACAUUAGAUGUGCACACAUAUAUUUAAAAUAAAAAAGUUACAGAACUACUCAGCACCAGAAGAAAGCAUAUGGCUGCACUAGAGGAAUUUUGGAUGUCUACCAAUGUUGCUUUUCAGGAAUACCUGUUGUUCAGCAAGGAGACAGGCACAAAGUAGCUCAGCUCCAUCUGAUGUGAUAGCUGUACCCUAUCCAGUCAUCACUUGAAACCCACCAGUGGCCAGGCCUGGAACUGGGCUUAUUAAGCCCAUUUUCAUCAAGGAGCUGUGGAUCAAACCAAAUGUGGUAGACUGCAUGAAAUCAGAUUUCUGUUGCUGAAGCCAAGGACUUUCAUAGGUGUUUCCUGAAGCAGUCUGCCUGAAAGCUAAUUUUCAACUCCAUCCUUUCAUGUGCUUUACGGGAGAUUAAGAUGAAAUUAGUGCAGGAAGGAUACUGCUCAAGAUCAUUUUAAGAUUUUCCAAGGCUCACCAGCUUGUUGACCUGUAAACCACCUUUAGCUGGACAGAUGACCCAAAGAGUGCAAACACGCUCCAAGAAGAGAGAAGGGGAUGAGGAGAGAAGCCAAGCCACCAGCCCUGCGUCUGACUGUUGGAUUGGGAUUCAGGGCAGGAGUUAGGAUGCUUCACAUCCCAACAGCUGCACUCUGUCUUCAGGAUCUGAGAAACUGGACAAGACAACUGAAAAGGAAUCCAGUUGUUUAAGCUUCGGCUGCAAUUGUGUUUAUAUUUGUUUUGCUUGUAACCUUUUGUUUUCAGCCUUGCAACUAAAAGCCUGACCUUGUCUUGCUUAAUAAACCUUGUGCAGAAGCUUUA